CCUACGGGAGACAGCAGUGGGGGAUAUUGCACAAUGUGGGAAACCCUGAUGCAGCGACGCCGCGUGAGUGAAGAAGGAUUUCGGGAUGUAAAGCUCUAUCAGCAGGGAAGAAAAUGACAGUACCUGACCAAGAAGCCCCGGCGAACGACGGGCCAGCAGCCGCGGUAAUACGGAGGGGGCAAGCGUUAUCCGGAUUUACUGGGUGUAAAGGGAGCGUAGACGGUUAUGGAAGUCUGGAGUGAAAGCCCGGGGCCCAACCCCGGGACUGCUUUGGAAACUGUGUAACUGGAGUACAGGAGGGGCAGGCUGCAUUCCUGGUGUCGCUGUUCCAUUCGUCGAUCUCAGGAGGACCCCCGGCGGCGAAGGCGGCCUGCUGGACUGCACCUGCCGUUGAGGCUCG
rnacentral:rRNA from 1 species